rnacentral:rRNA from 1 species
GGUUGAUCCUGCCAGUAGUCAUAUGCUUGUCCUAAAGAUUAAGCCAUGCAUGUCCAAGUAUAAGCGAUUGUACGGUGAAACUGCGAAAGGCUCAUUAAAUCAGUGAUAGUUUACAUGAUGAAGACGAUUACAUGGAUAACCGUGGUAAUUCCAGAGCUAAUACAUGCGCUGGGGGGCGGUGCGAGCUGCCUCUGCAUUUAUUAGAUAAAACCAAAUCAAGGCAACUUGAGUUAUGGCGAGUCAUGAUAACUGAGCGGAUCGUAUGGCCAAGUGCUGACGACGCAUCAUUCAAA